UCGAGUUGAAACGGGGACUUGAGCUGGCCUUCCGGGGCAAGUGCUCGGUCCUCUGCUCAAUCCAUCUACCCCUGUGCACCUAUUGUGGGUACUGUGUCGCGGAAGCAGGCUGGAGGACGGCCUGUGGAUGCGCAUAUACUCAUGUUUUACACACUACGCAUGUCUUAGAAUGUCUUUUUUUGCGUUAACUCGCAUGUAAUA
rnacentral:misc_RNA from 1 species